UACGUAGGGUGCAAGCGUUGUCCGGAAUUAUUGGGCGUAAAGAGCUCGUAGGCGGUUCGUCGCGUCGGCUGUGAAAACCCGGAGCUCAACUCCAGGCCUGCAGUCGAUACGGGCGGACUUGAGUGUUGCAGGGGAGACUGGAAUUCCUGGUGUAGCGGUGAAAUGCGCAGAUAUCAGGAGGAACACCGGUGGCGAAGGCGGGUCUCUGGGCAACUACUGACGCUGAGGAGCGAAAGCGUGGGGAGCGAACAGG
rnacentral:rRNA from 1 species